rnacentral:rRNA from 1 species
CCUGGCUCAGGAUGAACGCUAGCUACAGGCUUAACACAUGCAAGUCGAGGGGCAGCAUGGUCUUAGCUUGCUAAGGCCGAUGGCGACCGGCGCACGGGUGAGUAACGCGUAUCCAACCUGCCUUACACUCUUGGACAGCCUUCUGAAAGGGAGAUUAAUACAAGAUGUUAUCAUGAGUAAGCAUUUUCGCAUGAUUAAAGGUUUACCGGUGUAAGAUGGGGAUGCGUUCCAUUAGAUAGUAGGCGGGGUAACGGCCCACCUAGUCUUCGAUGGAUAGGGGUUCUGAGAGGAAGGUCCCCCACAUUGGAACUGAGACACGGUCCAAACUCCUACGGGAGGCAGCAGUGAGGAAUAUUGGUCAAUGGACAAGAGUCUGAACCAGCCAAGUAGCGUGAAGGAUGAAGGUUCUAUGGAUUGUAAACUUCUUUUAUACGGGAAUAAACGAAUCCACGUGUGGAUUUUUGCAUGUACCGUAUGAAUAAGGAUCGGCUAACUCCGUGCCAGCAGCCGCGGUAAUACGGAGGAUCCGAGCGUUAUCCGGAUUUAUUGGGUUUAAAGGGAGCGUAGAUGGGUUGUUAAGUCAGUUGUGAAAGUUUGCGGCUCAACCGUAAAAUUGCAAUUGAUACUGGCAGUCUUGAGUACAGUUGAGGUAGGCGGAAUUCGUGGUGUAGCGGUGAAAUGCUUAGAUAUCACGAAGAACUCCGAUUGCGAAGGCAGCUUACUAACCUGUAACUGACAUUGAUGCUCGAAAGUGUGGGUAUCAAACAGGAUUAGAUACCCUGGUAGUCCACACGGUAAACGAUGAAUACUCGCUGUAGGCGAUAUACAGUCUGCGGCCAAGCGAAAGCAUUAAGUAUUCCACCUGGGGAGUACGCCGGCAACGGUGAGACUCAAAGGAAUUGACGGGGGCCCGCACAAGCGGAGGAACAUGUGGUUUAAUUCGAUGAUACGCGAGGAACCUUACCCGGGCUUAAAUUGCAACCGAAUAUGGCGGAAACGCUAUAGCUAGCAAUAGCGGUUGUGAAGGUGCUGCAUGGUUGUCGUCAGCUCGUGCCGUGAGGUGUCGGCUUAAGUGCCAUAACGAGCGCAACCCUUGCCGAUAGUUACUAACAGGUCAUGCUGAGGGCUCUGUCGGGACUGCCAUCGUAAGAUGUGAGGAAGGUGAGGAUGACGUCAAAUCAGCACGGCCCUUACGUCCGGGGCUACACACGUGUUACAAUGGGGGGUACAGAGGGCUGCUACCACGUAAGUGGAUGCCAAUCCCAAAAACCUCUCUCAGUUCGGAUUGAAGUCUGCAACCCGACUUCAUGAAGCUGGAUUCGCUAGUAAUCGCGCAUCAGCCACGGCGCGGUGAAUACGUUCCCGGGCCUUGUACACACCGCC